rnacentral:rRNA from 1 species
UACAGAGGUCUCAAGCGUUGUUCGGAUUCAUUGGGUGUAAAGGGUGCGUAGGCGGCGCGGUAAGUCGGGUGUGAAAUCUCGGAGCUUAACUCCGAAACUGCAUUCGAUACUGCCGGGCUUGAGGCAGGUAGGGGAGAUCGGAAUUCCUGGUGUAGCGGUGAAAUGCGCAGAUAUCAGGAAGAACACCCGUGGCGAAGGCGGCUCUCUGGGACGGUACUGACGCUGAGACGCGAAAGCGUGGGGAGCGAACAGG